CGGGGCGUAGCGAAGCCUGGUUAUCGCACUCGUCUGGGGGACGAGCGGUCGGAGGUUCAAAUCCUCUCGCCCCGACCA
rnacentral:tRNA from 1 species